rnacentral:ncRNA from 1 species
CGGUAGACGCUACGGACUUAAAUUUUGAGCCUUAGUAGAGAAAUCUAUUAAGUGACUGUUUUCACAUUCAGGGAAACCUAAGGUUUGAGGUAUGAGGUAAUCCUGAGCCAAAUUUUAGUGAUAAAAUAGGUGCAGAGACUCAAAGGAAACUAUCCUAACGAAAAAUUUUUUUCUUUAUUUGUUUUAUUACGAGUAUUGAUUCAGUGCACAAUAAAUAUAUUCG